rnacentral:rRNA from 1 species
CAGCAGCCACGGUAAUACGGAGGGAGCUAGCGUUGUUCGGAAUUACUGGGCGUAAAGCGCGCGUAGGCGGUUACUCAAGUCAGAGGUGAAAGCCCGGGGCUCAACCCCGGAACUGCCUUUGAAACUAGGUGACUAGAAUCUUGGAGAGGUCAGUGGAAUUCCGAGUGUAGAGGUGAAAUUCGUAGAUAUUCGGAAGAACACCAGUGGCGAAGGCGACUGACUGGACAAGUAUUGACGCUGAGGUGCGAAAGCGUGGGGAGCAAACAGGAUUAGAGACCCCUGUAGUCCCUGUCUCUUAUAC